rnacentral:rRNA from 1 species
UACGGAGGGGGCUAGCGUUAUUCGGAAUUAUUGGGCAUAAAGGGCGUGUAGGCGGCUUCGUAAGUCUUGUGUGAAAGCCCUCGGCUCAACCGAGGAAUUGCACGAGAAACUGCGUGGCUCGAGUCCGGGAGAGGAGAGUGGAAUUCCUGGUGUAGCGGUGAAAUGCGCAGAUAUCAGGAAGAACACCCGUGGCUAAGGCGGCUCUCUAGUACGGUACUGACGCUGAGACGCGAAAGCGUGGGGAGCGAACAGG